ensembl:lncRNA
GGGGGGAAAAACAGACAGCAGUCCACACAGUCCACCGUGCAAAGCUCUUUCCGAUGAGAAGGGAAGGCCCUGUACAUAGUUAUGUUUAGAAAAAAAAAAAGAAAAAAAAAAAGAUUGCUUCAUGAGCUAAUGGUUCAUAUAUGCAAAAGGGUAAGACGAAAGCUUUACUUUGUACAGAUGUAAAUAGAUAAAGAUUAAGUAACAUAAUACAUUAAUACUUCUUAAAAUGUGCUAUUUGCAGACUUAAUAUCAGUGAGCACAGUCGGCGACGGCUGUGUUCCCGUGUAUUGUUCUAGACAGCUAAACCCUUCAACUAUGCAAUGAAUGUUAGGGCUUUUCACAAAAGCCCGCCUAACUCAAAGGAGCCUUUUCAAGUCCAUUUACAACAUACUUAAGGUCAUAUUUUCCCUGAACAAGCACUUACGUGAUAUGACUCUGUUUUCCUUGCUUGUUUUGUUUUCAAAUGGAGAAACACCCGAUUUUGCAAAUCGGACCCCAGGCUGAAACUUUGCACCUGAAGUUGCUGCUUGUGGGCCUUGGGGGAGGAGAGAGAGUGCAGCUCCGAAACGGUAACGGAGGACGUGAGCAGCCAGUGUCAGGGAGGACGGGAGUUGUCAGAUGCCAAAAUCAGGGGACACAAACAGGUCGCCAGCAUCUCCUCACCAUCCGUCACGUGAUUUCACACACACCUCAUGUGGCAACCAUGUGUUUUUUCAGUGUCUCCCCUCGCUGUACACACCUCCUCGUUUUGUAACAAGCUUCCGUGACACCCAAACAGAUCCUGAAAGAAAGCUUCGCGUUUUCUCAGAUGAUGGAUGUGUUUUCACCGUAUUCGAUAACUGAUGAAGUUAGGGGCACGUUUCCUAGUGUGACUCAUCGUAUCCCCGUAGGUAAUCGAGUCUGGGAGGAGCCAAAAACAGGUCAACCUGGUUGGGGCCAGGAGGGUUCCAGAGGGUGAAAGGUGGCAGAGACAGUCUUGUGUGCGCGUGUGUUUUUUGAGUUUGCAUCAACCUUAAAUGUCUCUUCAUGAUACUUUUAUAAUACAUUCAGCCUCUUGUCUACAUAUUUGGAGAGAAUAUGACUUUACUAGCAGAGAAAUACAAUAUAUCUUGUCUACUGGACUGUAAAAUAUAUGUAUGAAAUAAAAUUAGUUCCAUUUGGUCUUCUAGUAUAUUAAAGUGCUAUCUGACGUUGUUAUCCUGUUUUUGCAAAAAAAAAAACAAAAAAAAGUUAACUACAGACCAUCGUUUCUAAUAAGCAGAGAGAUCUAUUUUAGUAGUCAACGAAGGUUUAGUUGUGAGCUUCAGAUUUUGUGAAUUCCAGAUGUUGUGCAUGUUUUUUUCUUUUGUUUGUUUGUUUUUGUUUUGUUUUUUUAAGACAACAACUAAAAAGAAAACGAAAAAAAAUCCAAGGAAUAUGUACACUGGAACCGUAGUGGUAGCUUUCAGUAUUGUAAAGAGAUUGUUCUAUACAGACCUUUUUGCUGUUUCUCCUGUAUGUAAUAAAGUCCUUUCUAGAUCCUAUGUGAAAAGAAACGUGAAAGCGACUGAGUCUUCAGCAUGUUCUCAUCGGCGGAGCCUUCUUGUGUUAUGUAAACUGUGCCAUGUUAUUAAAAAAUGUGAACCAA